UGGAGGGACUUAUUUGCAUCAAGAAACCUCUUCCUCUGGGGCACAGGGAAAGAUAAAAUAGAUCAGAGGUGCCCCCUGUAAGUGGAGGAACUCAGAAGGUGGAGCCUCAGCAUUGUCCCUACCAUGGACUGGACUCCUCUCCUCCUCACGCUCCUCACUCACUACACAGGGACCUGGGCCCAGUCUGGGCUGACCCAGGAAGCCUCAGUGUCGGGGUCUCCGGGUCAGACUGUCACCCUCACCUGCACUGGAAACAGCAAUAAUGUUGGAUACAGUGGUGCAAGCUGGUACCAGCAGGUCCCUGGUGCUGUCCCCAAACUUCUCAUCUAUGGUACCAACAAUCGACCCUCAGGGAUCCCGGCUCGGUUCUCUGGCUCCCGUUCAGGAGCUAAGGCCACCCUGACCAUCUCGGGGCUGCAGCCUGAGGAUGAGGCCGACUACUACUGUCAGUCUUAUGAUAGUAGCUACAAUCACACAGUGCUCCAGACUCUGGGGGAACAGAAUCCAGGGAGCCCUCCCCGGUAUCUCCUGUGGUAUAAAUCAGACUCAGACAAGCACCAGGGCUCUGGGGUCCCGAGCCGCUUCUCUGGAUCCAAAGACACCUCGGCCAAUGCAGGGCUCCUGACCAUCUCUGGGCUGCAGCCUGAGGACGAGGCCGACUAUUACUGUGCUGACCUGGACUCCGUGACGGGCAACGGUUACCAGAGCUGA